UACAGAGGUCCCAAGCGUUGUUCGGAUUCACUGGGCGUAAAGGGUGCGUAGGUGGUCAGAUAAGUCUGAUGUGAAAGCUCUGGGCUCAACCCAGAAAUGGCAUUGGAUACUAUUUGGCUUGAGGAAUGGAGGGGGGACUGGAAUACUUGGUGUAGCAGUGAAAUGCGUAGAUAUCAAGUGGAACACCAGUGGCGAAGGCGAGUCCCUGGACAUUUCCUGACACUGAGGCACGAAAGCUAGGGGAGCAAACAGG
rnacentral:rRNA from 1 species